rnacentral:rRNA from 1 species
CAUAAUCAUUUGUCCACUAAUUAUGGACUAGCAUGAAAGGCAAAAUGAGGGUUUAACUGUCUCUUAUAGUAAGUCAAUUAAACUGAUCUACCAGUAAAAAAGCUGGAAUGAACACACAAGACCAGAAGACCCUGUGAAGCUUAAACUAAACUAUUAAACACCAUAAUAACUACUUUCGGUUGGGGCGACCUUGGAAAAAAAAGAACUUCCAAACCAGUGACAAUCAAUCACCCCAGGCCAACAAGCCACAUAUGACCCAGCACACCUGAUAAUUGAACCAAGUUACUCCAGGGAUAACAGCGCCAUCUUCUUCAAGAGUCCAUAUCAAAAAGAAGGUUUACGACCUCGAUGUUGGAUCAGGACAUCCUAA